rnacentral:misc_RNA from 1 species
UCAAUUCUCAAUUUUAAUUUUUACUUUGCUUGCUUGUUUUCCUUAUUUAAAGGUUCUUGCUUUGCUUGAAAUGGUGUCGCCUGUUCUUAAUGUAUAGAAUCCUGUAAAGUAAUUAUCAUUUUUACCCAACUACAUUGUUUUUCAUGGAAUUUUGAUGGUAGUUUCCUCUUGGGUUUUCACCAAAUUGAAGAAUUUUCAAAGAAUUGUCUUUUUAAUGCUCCAAUUAUAGGAGUGGGCCAUUAGCAAUAUCUAAAUGAGAGGUUCAAUGCAGAGGAACACGAGGGGUAGUGAAAUUUUGAUUCAUUUGUAUCUUAAUAGUAGGUAUUACUAAGCUCAUAGGUUUUAAUUUUUGUUGAUUAUUCUGAGCUUUUGUUUCACUUUUUUAAAAUGCUUUUUUGGUAAACCAUACAAGCUAUCCCACAGUCCAAUGGACGCUUGCGUAUGUUGAUCAUCUUUGCGGCUGUUUAAUUGAUGAACUAGUCUCUAUUCCAAUAGUUCAAAUUUCAAUCAUUUCAUCUGCCUGUAAUUCUCGGCCAAUGGUGGAUUAUAUUUCUAAGUUUUGUACCCUUUUUGAGUCUGUAGUCUGCUUCUUUACGUUUAUGGCAGUUUUGCUUGUGGAUAAAAUUGGAGAUGGAUGUCUUAUUGUUAUCUGGAGUGUGUAAUUUCUUUAUUUUUAUGUAGUUUGGUCAUUAUAAUUCUGUCUGAAUCCUUUAAAUAUAAAGAUAGUUUUGGUGUUACUUGCUGUUGUGGUUUUGUUGCUAAUUGUCAACCUUAUAGGUCAUGUUUGUGACCGACUGCAAUCCACUCAAUUUCAGAUAGUACUGCCUGAUUGCUAUGGUUGCUUCGUAACAAUCUUUCUGCUUGUUUUACAUGCAGGUCAAGUCACCAGAGAAUACAUGUCUCAUUGUUGUGAGGGUUGGUACCAUGAAUCCUUCUUAUGCUAAUUCCAUUUUCCCUCUCUCUUUUUGUUUAUUGGAAAAAUACAAAACGCUGAAGCAAUGAGAGGAAGGAAUUGGGAUGUAAAGGACCUGAAUAUGAAAUCUACAAAUACGUGAUAAGAGUAUAAUACAUGCUCCAGGCAAUUAAUCAGUAUCAGAUAAAGACCUAUAGAAUCUCCCAAGUGUGAGAGUUUUCCAGUAUGAGAUCUAGUUAAUAUGUUCACUGAAGCUGUCACAGAGAGAUUUACAUAUUUAUAAAUAUUUUUUUGAGGCUAAAGGAAGACAAAAACUUGUAUCAUCUUUUUGCAUCUGAAUCAAUUGUGCCAUACCAUAAAUGUUGCUUACUAGCUCCACCAAUUAGUUGAGAGUUAGCAACCUGAAGGCUUAUGAGUUGAGCCUUGCAUGAAAUUCAUUUUUUCCUUUUUAGUUAAUACACUAUUUUGUUUGAUGGGGCAUGAUAAGUAAUUAAGCAUGAUUCAAAUUUUGUGGGAAUUGAUUAACUAGGUUUUGAUGAGCCUGUAUUCUAUUUUUCCCCCUCUUACAGCUUAAGCAUUGGGAGCGGAAGAAAUGUAAGCCAAACAGCCUUCCAAUUUUACACAAAAUGCAUGUUAAGGUGGGAGAUACAGUUAAAGUGAUAUCUGGAGAUGAUAAAGGGAAGAUUGGAGAGGUUGCUAAGAUCUUCAGGCAUAACAGCACUGUGGUAGUCAAAGAAAUAAAUCUGAAGACAAAGCAUGUGAAGAGCAGAGAAGAGGGAGAACCUGGCCAGAUUAUUAAGGUUGUUUCACCUGGUUUAAUUAUAGAAGGUUCUUAUACUUUUAUUGAUAUUCAUUAUACAAGGGGCAUGCUUAGUAAUUGAGAAUAUUACUUGUAAAAACCUUGUUAUGAAUUUAUUUCAAAGCGUCACAAUAAAAUUUGAGAUAUUUCUGCUGUGUUUGUUAAUUAUUAGUUUGCGUACAUAUCAAACUUUAUAUAUUUAUCUGAUUUCUUUUUGCCUGUUUUAUGGUAUUGCAGAUUGAAGCACCCAUUCACAGCUCAAAUGUGAUGCUUUACUCCAAGGAACAGAAUGUAGCAAGUCGGGUGGGCCAUAAAGUUCUUGACGAUGGGCAGCGAGUUCGUUAUCUCAUUAAAACAGGCGAAGUAAUUGAUAGUGCAGAGUACUGGAAAAAAUUGAAGGAAGAGCAGAACACGAAAACUGAAGUAGCUGCUGCUUCAUGAGAACAUAAUGCAUGACUUGGCUAUUGCUUUAGGUUCUAGAACUCUAGUUGAGUUCUGUCUGUUUUCCUUCUUUCCUGGUCAAAUUGUUCUGGCAUGUGCUUUUGUUAAUUAAUUGUAUCAUUCAAAGUCACUGGACCACUGGUUGUAUGGCUAACUGAUACAGACUUGUAGCUUAAACAUUGCAAGUUGUUUUGUAUUGUAUCUAGUGCAAUUUGUUGAUCUUGUCAUGUUCUGUUCUGCAACGU